rnacentral:rRNA from 1 species
CCUACGGGAGGCAGCAGUGGGGAAUAUUGGACAAUGGGCGAAAGCCUGAUCCAGCCAUGCCGCGUGUGUGAAGAAGGUCUUCGGAUUGUAAAGCACUUUAAGUUGGGAGGAAGGGCAGUUACCUAAUACGUAAUUGUUUUGACGUUACCGACAGAAUAAGCACCGGCUAACUCUGUGCCAGCAGCCGGGUAAU